AGGUAUGCACCGUAUAUACAUUGAAAUUAAGUUAAGAUUGACUAUGAGCAUGUAAGUAUAUGGGUUGAAGUGUGAAGUAACAUAAGUAUGUGAUUUUUGCGUAUUUGCAUUUAUUUAGCCUUGUAAUCGAAUUAGAUGUAUUUGGCAUAAUUAUGAUGUUAGUUGGGUAAAAAGAGAUUAUCUACAUGAUACGAAUUCGUGUUUAAGGAAAAAUUUAAGAUGACAUGUAUGAACAAUAGGGGUAUAUUUAAUCAUGACUACAUUUAGUCAGAAAGAUGAUGAGCCUUAUGAAUGCUAUGCUUUAGUUAUAAAUGAUUUCAUUACUUAAGACUUAC
rnacentral:lncRNA from 1 species